GAUGAACGCUGGCGGCGUGCCUAAUACAUGCAAGUCGAGCGAACGGACGAGAAGCUUGCUUCUCUGAUGUUAGCGGCGGACGGGUGAGUAACACGUGGAUAACCUACCUAUAAGACUGGGAUAACUUCGGGAAACCGGAGCUAAUACCGGAUAAUAUUUUGAACCGCAUGGUUCAAAAGUGAAAGACGGUCUUGCUGUCACUUAUAGAUGGAUCCGCGCUGCAUUAGCUAGUUGGCAAGGUAACGGCUUACCAAGGCAACGAUGCAUAGCCGACCUGAGAGGGUGAUCGGCCACACUGGAACUGAGACACGGUCCAGACUCCUACGGGAGGCAGCAGUAGGGAAUCUUCCGCAAUGGGCGAAAGCCUGACGGAGCAACGCCGCGUGAGUGAUGAAGGUCUUCGGAUCGUAAAACCCUGUUAUUAGGGAAGAACAUAUGUGUAAGUAACUGUGCACAUCUUGACGGUACCUAAUCAGAAAGCCACGGCUAACUACGUG
rnacentral:rRNA from 1 species